AUUGCACAGACAACCAGGAUGUUGGCUUAGAAGCAGCCACUCAUUUAAAGAGUGCGUAAUAGCUCACUGGUCGAGUGAUUGUGCGCCGAAAAUGUACCGGGGCUAAACUGUGUACCGAAGUCUAGGGAUCGUGAUAAACGAUCGGUAGGGGAGCAACGUGUGCGGGCUGAAGCCGAAGCGGAAGCGACGGUGGACUGCACGGGAGAGAGAAUGCCGGCAUGAGUAGCGAGAGCAAAGUGAGAAUCUUUGCCGUCGAAAGCCUAAGGUUUCCUGAGGAAGGCUCGUCCUCUCAGGGUAAGUCGGGACCUAAGCCGAGGACAAGAGUCGUAGGCGAUGGACAACAGGUUGAUAUUCCUGUACCGUACUUAAGCGUUUGACUGAAGCAGUGACACAGAAGGAUAGACAGACCGGGGGAAUGGUAGACUCCGGCCAAGCAGUGAGGCUGACAUGUAGUGAAGUACGCAUGUUAAGGCUGGGCUGUGAUGGGGACUGAAGAUUAGUAAGGAAGCUGUUGAAUUCACACUGGCGAGAAAAGCUGCUAAGGAGCGAGAGUAUGCCCGUACCGCAAACCGACACAGGUAGGCGAGGAGAGAAUCCUAAGACGAGCGGGAGAACCCUUGUUAAGGAACUCGGCAAAAUGACUCCGUAACUUAGGGAGAAGGAGUGCCUCGAGAGAGGCCGCAGAGAAUAGGCCCAAGCGACUGUUUACCAAAAACACAGGUCUGUGCGAAGUAGAGAUACGACGUAUACGGGCUGACGCCUGCCCAGUGCCGGAAGGUUAAGGGGAAGUGUUAGGGCAACCGAAGCACGGAACUUAAGCCCCGGUGAACGGCGGCCGUAACUAUAACGGUCCUAAGGUAGCGAAAUUCCUUGUCGGGUAAGUUCCGACCCGCACGAAUGGCGUAACGACUUGGGCACUGUCUCAACAUGGGACCCGGCGAAAUUGUAGUAUGUGUGAAGAUGCACAUUACCCGCGAUAGGACGGAAAGACCCCGUAGAGCUUUACUGUAGUUUAACAUUGGAUUUUGAUAACACAUGUACAGGAUAGGUGGGAGGCUGAGAAACCGGCACGCCAGUGCCGAUGGAGCCGCUGUUGGGAUACCACUCUUGUGUUAUUGGAGUUCUAACGAAGUGCCGUAAACCGGGCUUCGGACAGUGUUAGAUGGGCAGUUUGACUGGGGCGGUCGCCUCCGAAAGAG
rnacentral:rRNA from 1 species